GUAGGUGAACCUGCGGAAGGAUCAUUAAUGAGUUGGGGUCUUCUAGGCCCGAUCUCCAACCCUUUGUAUAACUACCAUGUUGCUUUGGCGGGCCCGUCUUUAACCGGACCGCCGGGGUCUUUUGACCUCUGGCCAGUGCUCGUCAGUAGCCUACACAAAAACUCUUUUAACCAUGUUAAAUCUGAAACUAGUUAAAUAAACUAAAACUUUCAACAACGGAUCUCUUGGUUCUG
rnacentral:misc_RNA from 1 species